AAUCUUUGCUGCUUUUAUCUCUCAGAGAAACGAGUGGGAGUUGUGCAUGGAAAAAUGUCUGGAUGUCUGCCUUCUACAGUGUUACUUAUUCAGUUUUAUGAUUUCAGUCGCAACUUUGGCAAUUGUCUCUUCUUACUUCGUGGUUCUGGGAAACAAGAGGAUUACUCAGCCUUACUCCAAGCCCUGAGCAUAUUUCCUGGCUGAAUUGUGUUUGCUGAACUAGCUCGUAAGGAUCAAAACCUCUGGCUAAAACUACAACAACACGCAAGAAUAUGGGAUGUACAGCACCAAGACUGAACCCUAAUGUAGACUAUGGACUCUGGGCGAUCAAGGAACCAUUAAAGGCUUCCAAGCAUGAGGGUGACAUGAUGAGAUCUGCGCUUCAAGAAGCAAGAAACCAACUGCCUUUGUACAUCAAUCAAGCAGAAUCGAUUCUGAAGUUUCUCCCUUCACAGGAUAUGACAGGGACCUGCAGCUGAUUCGUGAGCUGCUCCUCGCUCCAGCGAUGCACUGCUCGGGGAAGAGACCUGUGAGGUGCUGCGAGAUGGGAGGGAUCCAACUGCUCGAGGAGAGAGCGGACUUGCAUCACCACGAAAACACUGAGCACAGACCAGCCUUCGAAGGCAAAGCGAAGUGAUCUUUUGGCUAAAACCUUGGUAUUUCUUGCUGAGUCCACCUGCCUGAUGCCAUCGCUGAAAGACAAGCAAGAACACAUGGAGAAUGUGACUUUCAGGGAAUGAAUCGCUGGAACCAGAAGCCUGGAAGGAACUCCCUGCCAGCAGGAGGCAGCCAACUUUGGUUUCCAGGGCUCUGGAAAGGGAGCUCGCCCCUCGUUUACUUCUCUGGAAGCUCUGCGAGAGGAGGGCGGUGGCAGUCAUGGUCAUUCCCGUAUUUGAUUGCUGUCUGUUUACCCAGAAGACUGCAGGCUCCAUGAAGGGAGAGACCCCUGGGUGAAUCCAGUGCCUGGACAGCGCCCUGCUCAGCACCGUGAACAACAAGCGUGCCCUGAUGAGCAGCCACAGGGCGCGGAGGCGUGCCGUGAUCGGGACACGCUCAUCCCAGGAAACUCCAAACAGCUCCUCAGAGCUAUCAUAAAGGAAGUUAAGGACAGUUCCCUGGAGAAGCAAUGAUCCAGCUGAGUUCCAAGUUAAGCGGGAAUGACAGAGAGAGUUGGCGGGAGUAUUCCAGGUGGAGCGAGCAGCAUUUGCAAAGGCCUGGCCGCCACCCAGAGAACCAAGGUUGCCUCUGCAGAGUUUUAGGCAGCAGAGCGAUAGGAUAUGGUUUGUGUUUCAAAAGGACCAGUAGGUUAUUAUCGUUAAACCAGCUUUGGGGGGCUUGUAAAUAUGUUGGUUUGUGUGUGUGUGUGUGUGUGUGUGUGUGUUUUGUUACAAAACAAGGAAAGAAAAAACUAAGUCUAGGAGAAGUAAUGAUUUUAGAAUGCAUUCUACUCUUGCUUCGCUGUCUAGGACUCUGUGGAGGAAGGGAGUCUAUCACAGUGAUUUUAGAAACCAUGACCUAUGGGCAAGCCCCACUUGAAACAGUAAAAGUGUCACAAAAGUUGGCUGCAAGUCAGAUGUUUGUAAACUGAAUCCUGCUUUGAGUGCACAGUGGAAACUUGCUCCGUGAAAUAAUGAUGUGACGAAAAUUUUAUAGAAGAUGGUUUUUAUUCAAACAAUCACCUACGCCCUAAGUUCUCUGACUUGUAAGUGAUGUGUUUUGUAACUAUAAAAUAAAAACCCUGAGAUCUUUUAGGGACCUCAGAGUUCUCGGCUCCAA